GCACACCCGGAGAACUGAAACAUCUUAGUACCCGGAGGAAGAGAAAGAAAAUUCGAUUCCCUUAGUAGCGGCGAGCGAAACGGGAAGAGCCCAAACCAACAAGCUUGCUUGUUGGGGUUGUAGGACACUCUAUACGGAGUUACAAAGGACGACAUUAGACGAAUCAUCUGGAAAGAUGAAUCAAAGAAGGUAAUAAUCCUGUAGUCGAAAAUGUUGUCUCUCUUGAGUGGAUCCUGAGUACGACGGAGCACGUGAAAUUCCGUCGGAAUCUGGGAGGACCAUCUCCUAAGGCUAAAUACUCUCUAGUGACCGAUAGUGAACCAGUACCGUGAGGGAAAGGUGAAAAGCACCCCGGAAGGGGAGUGAAAUAGAACCUGAAACCGUGUGCUUACAAGUAGUCAGAGCCCGUUAAUGGGUGAUGGCGUGCCUUUUGUAGAAUGAACCGGCGAGUUACGAUUUGAUGCAAGGUUAAGCAGUAAAUGUGGAGCCGUAGCGAAAGCGAGUCUGAAUAGGGCGUUUAGUAUUUGGUCGUAGACCCGAAACCAGGUGAUCUACCCUUGGUCAGGUUGAAGUUCAGGUAACACUGAAUGGAGGACCGAACCGACUUACGUUGAAAAGUGAGCGGAUGAACUGAGGGUAGCGGAGAAAUUCCAAUCGAACCUGGAGAUAGCUGGUUCUCUCCGAAAUAGCUUUAGGGCUAGCCUCAAGUGAUGAUUAUUGGAGGUAGAGCACUGUUUGGACGAGGGGCCCCUCUCGGGUUACCGAAUUCAGACAAACUCCGAAUGCCAAUUAAUUUAACUUGGGAGUCAGAACAUGGGUGAUAAGGUCCGUGUUCGAAAGGGAAACAGCCCAGACCACCAGCUAAGGUCCCAAAAUAUAUGUUAAGUGGAAAAGGAUGUGGCGUUGCCCAGACAACUAGGAUGUUGGCUUAGAAGCAGCCAUCAUUUAAAGAGUGCGUAAUAGCUCACUAGUCGAGUGACACUGCGCCGAAAAUGUACCGGGGCUAAACAUAUUACCGAAGCUGUGGAUUGUCCUUUGGACAAUGGUAGGAGAGCGUUCUAAGGGCGUUGAAGCAUGAUCGUAAGGACAUGUGGAGCGCUUAGAAGUGAGAAUGCCGGUGUGAGUAGCGAAAGACGGGUGAGAAUCCCGUCCACCGAUUGACUAAGGUUUCCAGAGGAAGGCUCGUCCGCUCUGGGUUAGUCGGGUCCUAAGCUGAGGCCGACAGGCGUAGGCGAUGGAUAACAGGUUGAUAUUCCUGUACCACCUAUAAUCGUUUUAAUCGAUGGGGGGACGCAGUAGGAUAGGCGAAGCGUGCGAUUGGAUUGCACGUCUAAGCAGUAAGGCUGAGUAUUAGGCAAAUCCGGUACUCGUUAAGGCUGAGCUGUGAUGGGGAGAAGACAUUGUGUCUUCGAGUCGUUGAUUUCACACUGCCGAGAAAAGCCUCUAGAUAGAAAAUAGGUGCCCGUACCGCAAACCGACACAGGUAGUCAAGAUGAGAAUUCUAAGGUGAGCGAGCGAACUCUCGUUAAGGAACUCGGCAAAAUGACCCCGUAACUUCGGGAGAAGGGGUGCUCUUUAGGGUUAACGCCCAGAAGAGCCGCAGUGAAUAGGCCCAAGCGACUGUUUAUCAAAAACACAGGUCUCUGCUAAACCGUAAGGUGAUGUAUAGGGGCUGACGCCUGCCCGGUGCUGGAAGGUUAAGAGGAGUGGUUAGCUUCUGCGAAGCUACGAAUCGAAGCCCCAGUAAACGGCGGCCGUAACUAUAACGGUCCUAAGGUAGCGAAAUUCCUUGUCGGGUAAGUUCCGACCCGCACGAAAGGCGUAACGAUUUGGGCACUGUCUCAACGAGAGACUCGGUGAAAUCAUAGUACCUGUGAAGAUGCAGGUUACCCGCGACAGGACGGAAAGACCCCGUGGAGCUUUACUGUAGCCUGAUAUUGAAAUUCGGCACAGCUUGUACAGGAUAGGUAGGAGCCUUUGAAACGUGAGCGCUAGCUUACGUGGAGGCGCUGGUGGGAUACUACCCUAGCUGUGUUGGCUUUCUAACCCGCACCACUUAUCGUGGUGGGAGACAGUGUCAGGCGGGCAGUUUGACUGGGGCGGUCGCCUCCUAAAAGGUAACGGAGGCGCUCAAAGGUUCCCUCAGAAUGGUUGGAAAUCAUUCAUAGAGUGUAAAGGCAUAAGGGAGCUUGACUGCGAGACCUACAAGUCGAGCAGGGUCGAAAGACGGACUUAGUGAUCCGGUGGUUCCGCAUGGAAGGGCCAUCGCUCAACGGAUAAAAGCUACCCCGGGGAUAACAGGCUUAUCUCCCCCAAGAGUUCACAUCGACGGGGAGGUUUGGCACCUCGAUGUCGGCUCAUCGCAUCCUGGGGCUGUAGUCGGUCCCAAGGGUUGGGCUGUUCGCCCAUUAAAGCGGUACGCGAGCUGGGUUCAGAACGUCGUGAGACAGUUCGGUCCCUAUCCGUCGUGGGCGUAGGAAAUUUGAGAGGAGCUGUCCUUAGUACGAGAGGACCGGGAUGGACAUACCUCUGGUGUACCAGUUGUCGUGCCAACGGCAUAGCUGGGUAGCUAUGUGUGGACGGGAUAAGUGCUGAAAGCAUCUAAGCAUGAAGCCCCCCUCAAGAUGAGAUUUCCCAACUUCGGUUAUAAGAUCCCUCAAAGAUGAUGAGGUUAAUAGGUUCGAGGUGGAAGCAUGGUGACAUGUGGAGCUGACGAAUACUAAUCGAUCGAAGACUUAAUCAA
rnacentral:rRNA from 1 species